UACGUAGGGAGCAAGCGUUGUCCGGAAUCAUUGGGCGUAAAGCGCGCGUAGGCGGCCUCAUAAGUCCGUUGUGAAAGUCAAAGGCUCAACCUUUGAAAGCCGAUGGAUACUGUGAGGCUAGAGUCCGGAAGAGGCGAGUGGAAUUCCUGGUGUAGCGGUGGAAUGCGCAGAUAUCAGGAGGAACACCAAUAGCGAAGGCAGCUCGCUGGGACGGUACUGACGCUAAGGCACGAAAGCGUGGGGAGCGAACAGG
rnacentral:rRNA from 1 species